GUGAUGUGUGAAUUCUUAGAGCUAUUUUAUGAUAUUACUACUUUAAUUUCUGUUCAUCCUAUCCUACUUCCAGCUUGUAUUUUAUGGGAGUGUGAAAUAUUGCACGUUUGUUGGAGAAGAAUUCUAGAAGUCAUGAUGAAAUGGUAAAGUCUAUUUCUCUUAAGAUGCAAUCAAAGUUCGAUAAAUAUUGGGAAGAUUAUAUCGAAAUCCUUUCCAUGGGGGCCGUGUUUGAUCCAAGAAUGAAGCUGAAACUUGUGGAGUAUGAUCCUCUUUCAAGUGAGGACAAAGUCAAUAGGUUGAAGAUGAAAUUCUAUAUUCUAUACGAUGAGUUUAAGAAAAAAGGUGUUGAUGUAUCUUUGUCUAAAGAUCCUCAACCAGUGCAAGUUCUAUUGCUGAAGUUGGGGAGUCUAAAUUCAUGGAAGGAGUAAGAAGACAAGAAGACAAUGAAGUUGUUGAUGCAUCAUUGUCUAAUGUGCUGGUUGUAAGUAUUUUUUAAUAAAUAUUUUUUUAAUCUAUAUUUAUAUUUAUAUUAAUUUCAUUUAUAACCUCUCUGGAAAUGUUGUGAUACACCCAAAAUUUUAACUAUUAUUCCAGCAGUUGUGUUUGUCUACGACAGUUUGAUCAACUAGCACGGGACCAAGUUUUCUAUAGAUUGCAAACUUGAGUUUGCUCGUACUGCUUGCUCAUCUAAAUUCUGCUGCUGGGCUGCGCUGCAAGCAAAACUCAUUCCUUUGUUGAGAGCUCUUCUUUACUUGAGAGCUCUUCUUUACUGUUGAUCAAGUUCCAGAGAUGUCCAUUUUUCUUCAAUAGUUAGGUUCUCGCUUUCGGUAUAGGGGUGUGAUCCUGGCGCCACCCCUCACUUGCUUUCUGUGCAAACAAGUGAGUAUUCUAUCUCCCUUCACAUUUCUUGUCCUUCACAUUAAGGGUAAUGAGCUAAUUACUUGUCUAAUGCUGCAUUGGUUUGCAUCAUGGACAUUAGAUUCCUAUGUAAAUUAUUGCUGUUUGCAAAGAAUCGAGCUUAAGCAGAUUGUUCUUGAGUUGCUCAAAAUAUACACUAAUUCUCAUUACAAUAUUUCCGAUGAUGCACUAUAUAAUUUCAUAGGCUAGGCUUGGUCUAGAAGUGGGAAUGAUGUCAAUCCUACAUGGUAUGUAAAAUUAAUGUGCAAAAUAUAUUUAUUAUGUUGUGUAGAUUGAUAAUGUUUUUCCUUGAUAUUAGAAUGAGUUGUUUUGAUGAUACAAUCUCACUUUUAUAUGUUUAAAGAUAUGUGUACCUGCUUUAGAUAAUGAAGCACAAGUCUGAAUAACAACUGCCGAAAAGGUUACAAAUUCUGUCGGAUUCUUUGUCUUGCUGUCCAGCAUAUUAGGUAAGUAUUUGUUGCAUAUGUUGUGCUUAAUUUCUUUAUUUAUAUUCUCAAGCUGAUUUGUAUAAUCAAUUUUGUUUGUUUCUGUGUUUGCAUUAUAUGAGCUAAGGAAGAGCUAACUUCUAAAUGAGGCAAGAUGAGAGAAGAAAUACCUAACCCCCAUCACCUAACUUCCAAAGCAAACAAGGGAGUAUUUUGUUUCCGCUCACAUUUUCUCGUCCUUCACAUAAAGGGCAAUGUUAAUAUUAAGAUUUUGGGUUAGGGUCUUUGUGUGCAUUUUGAUUAUGUGGUUGUAAAUAUUUUGAUUAAUUUCUCUUCGAUUCGUUGAUUUUGAAGUUUCUUUUUUCAACAAUGUAUAUAACAAUGCGAAGAAGUUAUGUGUUUUUAAAUGGCAGGACUAUGUCACAGAGCCUGAUGUGAAUUGAUUCUGAAGUUACCUUUUUCAGCAGUGUAUAUAACAAUGUGAAUACUAAAGAAGUUAUGUGUUUUUAAGUGGCAGGACUAUGCCACGGAGCUUGAUGAGAAACUUAUACGAAAUGCAACACAUUUGAUGGUAGCAAGGUUGGCAGGAAGUCUUGGUAAUGUAACCUAUAAGGUAUAGAUGACCUUUGCGUUAUUACUUUCUUGUAUAUUAAAUGUUAUUGAUCUUGUGAAUUGUCAGAACAUCACUUUUUAUAACUUGUGUACUGAUUGAAAAGGCCUUUACAUCACAUUUAGGAACCUUUCCGUGGUUGAAUAUCAAGCCUAACUCAGAAGGUCACUUCAGGGCUUGGCCAUAGCAAGUGAUUUUCUAGAGCAGCCAUUUCAGCCGGUGUUUAAUGAUAAUCUCCUUUCCAUCAAUUCGUCUUGAUUUCCAUAAUAACUAUUAAAAAUAAAACAAGAGAUACGAAUAAAGACUUGUUAGAAUCAACCAAACUAAUUGGUUUUAAUUAGAAAUACCAUACGACUUAGCGGGAAUCACGAUCAGAGUUGACACCGAUGAAUGGAAUCCAUCCACUGAUACAAAUCUUCCUCGAUUGAUAACCGCUCUGGAAAUGUUGUGAUACACUAAAAUUUUUAAAUAUUAUUCCAACAUUUGUGUUUUUCUACAACAGUUAGAUCAGCUAUCGAGGGACCAAAUUUGCUUUGGAUUGUGAACUUGAGUUUGGUCGUAUUGUGUAUAUUGUGUGUGCACGUGUGAUGUGUGUUUUUUGUGUAUAAUAUGUGUAGAUUGUGUAAUAAUGUAUUUUGUGCAGUAUGGUAAGAGUGUGUACGUUUGGAGUAUAAUGGGUGUAAUGUGUGUAUACGUUGUGUUUUGUGUUAGUGUGUAGUGUGAGUGUAUGUAUAGUGUGUUCUUUGUGUAAAGUGUUUAUUUUUUUAUAAUGUAUUUAGCACAAUGUUUGUAUUUGAAUAUAAUUUGUAUUGUGUAAA